rnacentral:lncRNA from 1 species
GUCAUUCCAUGCACCAAGUGGCAGAUUUGGGGGACUAGCCAGUGCAAAGUACCAGGAGAAGAGACACAGCUUAACAACAUGAUAAGAAACAGUUUCGGAAAUUGAUGAAUCAUCUUACUCUGCAGCAUUCAAAGUAACUGUGUGCUUGACACAUAGGAGGAAAAGUGGGCUCUUUGAAAUGUGAGCAGAGCACCGAUCGUGUCACCUGCCCGGCGCGUGACCUGUUCACUUUCCACCUGACCCUCUGUGCCCAAUGUCACCUGGAGCCUGAAACCUGGAAGGGAAAAGUCCUUGACUGGAGUCAGUGGAGAGAAAAUCAUCACCUGCUUGGGCACAAACAUGCCUGGUGACUGCGUCACUGUCUGUUAAGUGGGAUCAGCUAAUAGUUGCACAGCGGGCCUUCAAAGCAUCACGGCAGAACUGAUGAAGUUCCUGUAAUGCAUUCCCUGUGUGAAGGCCUUGGACUUUAGAGCUCAAGUGCGCCAGGAGCAUUUUGAGCUUGCCGACAGGCUCUCCCAUGGAUUCUAUUUGGUUAUACGGCAGUGGAAAAGAAUUGACUUUCAUUUUCGUCAC